rnacentral:rRNA from 1 species
AUGCAAGGACUGCCAUGCCCGGAUUUACACUUGGAUUGCUCACAGCGGAUUAAACGCUGGUCACUUCUACAAAGAGGGCUCUGUGGAUACAUGAGGUCGAGCGAGGAGUAUCGUGCUCAGCUGAGUGACCAGAUUGUUGGAGAUCCUGUAGCCGCCCCUCAUCAACCCGCAGCUUACAGGCACCAGAGAGCUAGAUCAGGCGAACCAAUGGAGGAGUGGAGCCGCGGAAGCGAGCUUGCACGGAAUGGCCGAGCGGAGCAGCAGGCAUGGAGCGGGCACGCUCGGGUUAACACAGGAGGCGCAGCGGCGGCCACGUCAUGCCUCCUUGUUAUGCUAGUUGCUGCCAUACUGCCACUGGUGGUCGGAGUGUUUAUGUUAGCCAAGAUAGCCUAUUUGCUUCGUAGGUAG